AACGAACGCUGGCGGCAGGCCUAACACAUGCAAGUCGAACGCUCGUAGCAAUACGAGAGUGGCAGACGGGUGAGUAACACGUGGGAACCUUCCCUAUGGUUCGGAAUAGCUCAGGGAAACUUGGGGUAAUACCGGAUAAGCCCUUCGGGGAAGAUUAUCGCCAUUGGAUGGGCCCGCGUCGGAUUAGCUAGUUGGUGAGGUAACGGCUCACCAAGGCAACGAUCCGUAGCUGGUCNGAGAGGAUGAUCAGCCACACUGGGACUGAGACACGGCCCAGACUCCUACGGGAGGCAGCAGUGGGGAAUAUUGGACAAUGGGCGCAAGCCUGAUCCAGCCAUGCCGCGUGAGUGACGAAGGUCUUCGGAUUGUAAAACUCUUUUGGCGGGGGACGAUAAUGACGGUACCCGCAGAAUAAG
rnacentral:rRNA from 1 species